UAGUCGGUCCCAAGGGUUGGGCUGUUCGCCCAUUAAAGCGGCACGCGAGCUGGGUUUAGAACGUCGUGAGACAGUUCGGUCCCUAUCCGCUGCGUGCGUAGGAAAUUUGUGGAGGUCUGUCCUUAGUACGAGAGGACCGGGAUGGACAUACCUCUGGUGUACCAGUUGUCGUGCCAACGGCAUAGCUGGGUAGCUAUGUAUGGACGGGAUAAGUGCUGAAAGCAUCUAAGCAUGAAGCCCCCCUCAAGAUGAGAUUUCCCAACUUCGGUUAUAAGAUCCCUCAAAGAUGAUGAGGUUAAUAGGUUCGAGGUGGAAGCAUAGCGAUAUGUGGAGCUGACGAAUACUAAUCGAUCGA
rnacentral:rRNA from 1 species